rnacentral:rRNA from 1 species
UUAAGCGACUAAGCGUACACGGUGGAUGCCCUGGCAGUCAGAGGCGAUGAAGGACGUGCUAAUCUGCGAUAAGCGUCGGUAAGGUGAUAUGAACCGUUAUAACCGGCGAUUUCCGAAUGGGGAAACCCAGUGUGAUUCGUCACACUAUCAUUAACUGAAUCCAUAGGUUAAUGAGGCGAACCGGGGGAACUGAAACAUCUAAGUACCCCGAGGAAAAGAAAUCAACCGAGAUUCCCCCAGUAGCGGCGAGCGAACGGGGAGCAGCCCAGAGCCUGAAUCAGUGUGUGUGUUAGUGGAAGCGUCUGGAAAGGCGCGCGAUACAGGGUGACAGCCCCGUACACAAAAAUGCACAUAUUGUGAGCUUGAUGAGUAGGGCGGGACACGUGGUAUCCUGUCUGAAUAUGGGGGGACCAUCCUCCAAGGCUAAAUACUCCUGACUGACCGAUAGUGAACCAGUACCGUGAGGGAAAGGCGAAAAGAACCCCGGCGAGGGGAGUGAAAAAGAACCUGAAACCGUGUACGUACAAGCAGUGGGAGCACGCUUAGGCGUGUGACUGCGUACCUUUUGUAUAAUGGGUCAGCGACUUAUAUUCUGUAGCAAGGUUAACCGAAUAGGGGAGCCGAAGGGAAACCGAGUCUUAACUGGGCGUUAAGUUGCAGGGUAUAGACCCGAAACCCGGUGAUCUAGCCAUGGGCAGGUUGAAGGUUGGGUAACACUAACUGGAGGACCGAACCGACUAAUGUUGAAAAAUUAGCGGAUGACUUGUGGCUGGGGGUGAAAGGCCAAUCAAACCGGGAGAUAGCUGGUUCUCCCCGAAAGCUAUUUAGGUAGCGCCUCGUGAAUUCAUCUCCGGGGGUAGAGCACUGUUUCGGCAAGGGGGUCAUCCCGACUUACCAACCCGAUGCAAACUGCGAAUACCGGAGAAUGUUAUCACGGGAGACACACGGCGGGUGCUAACGUCCGUCGUGAAGAGGGAAACAACCCAGACCGCCAGCUAAGGUCCCAAAGUCAUGGUUAAGUGGGAAACGAUGUGGGAAGGCCCAGACAGCCAGGAUGUUGGCUUAGAAGCAGCCAUCAUUUAAAGAAAGCGUAAUAGCUCACUGGUCGAGUCGGCCUGCGCGGAAGAUGUAACGGGGCUAAACCAUGCACCGAAGCUGCGGCAGCGACGCUUAUGCGUUGUUGGGUAGGGGAGCGUUCUGUAAGCCUGCGAAGGUGUGCUGUGAGGCAUGCUGGAGGUAUCAGAAGUGCGAAUGCUGACAUAAGUAACGAUAAAGCGGGUGAAAAGCCCGCUCGCCGGAAGACCAAGGGUUCCUGUCCAACGUUAAUCGGGGCAGGGUGAGUCGACCCCUAAGGCGAGGCCGAAAGGCGUAGUCGAUGGGAAACAGGUUAAUAUUCCUGUACUUGGUGUUACUGCGAAGGGGGGACGGAGAAGGCUAUGUUGGCCGGGCGACGGUUGUCCCGGUUUAAGCGUGUAGGCUGGUUUUCCAGGCAAAUCCGGAAAAUCAAGGCUGAGGCGUGAUGACGAGGCACUACGGUGCUGAAGCAACAAAUGCCCUGCUUCCAGGAAAAGCCUCUAAGCAUCAGGUAACAUCAAAUCGUACCCCAAACCGACACAGGUGGUCAGGUAGAGAAUACCAAGGCGCUUGAGAGAACUCGGGUGAAGGAACUAGGCAAAAUGGUGCCGUAACUUCGGGAGAAGGCACGCUGAUAUGUAGGUGAAGUCCCUUGCGGAUGGAGCUGAAAUCAGUCGAAGAUACCAGCUGGCUGCAACUGUUUAUUAAAAACACAGCACUGUGCAAACACGAAAGUGGACGUAUACGGUGUGACGCCUGCCCGGUGCCGGAAGGUUAAUUGAUGGGGUCAGCGCAAGCGAAGCUCUUGAUCGAAGCCCCGGUAAACGGCGGCCGUAACUAUAACGGUCCUAAGGUAGCGAAAUUCCUUGUCGGGUAAGUUCCGACCUGCACGAAUGGCGUAAUGAUGGCCAGGCUGUCUCCACCCGAGACUCAGUGAAAUUGAACUCGCUGUGAAGAUGCAGUGUACCCGCGGCAAGACGGAAAGACCCCGUGAACCUUUACUAUAGCUUGACACUGAACAUUGAGCCUUGAUGUGUAGGAUAGGUGGGAGGCUUUGAAGUGUGGACGCCAGUCUGCAUGGAGCCGGCCUUGAAAUACCACCCUUUAAUGUUUGAUGUUCUAACGUGGACCCGUGAUCCGGGUUGCGGACAGUGUCUGGUGGGUAGUUUGACUGGGGCGGUCUCCUCCUAAAGAGUAACGGAGGAGCACGAAGGUUGGCUAAUCCUGGUCGGACAUCAGGAGGUUAGUGCAAUGGCAUAAGCCAGCUUGACUGCGAGCGUGACGGCGCGAGCAGGUGCGAAAGCAGGUCAUAGUGAUCCGGUGGUUCUGAAUGGAAGGGCCAUCGCUCAACGGAUAAAAGGUACUCCGGGGAUAACAGGCUGAUACCGCCCAAGAGUUCAUAUCGACGGCGGUGUUUGGCACCUCGAUGUCGGCUCAUCACAUCCUGGGGCUGAAGUAGGUCCCAAGGGUAUGGCUGUUCGCCAUUUAAAGUGGUACGCGAGCUGGGUUUAGAACGUCGUGAGACAGUUCGGUCCCUAUCUGCCGUGGGCGCUGGAGAACUGAGGGGGGCUGCUCCUAGUACGAGAGGACCGGAGUGGACGCAUCACUGGUGUUCGGGUUGUCAUGCCAAUGGCACUGCCCGGUAGCUAAAUGCGGAAGAGAUAAGUGCUGAAAGCAUCUAAGCACGAAACUUGCCCCGAGAUGAGUUCUCCCUGACCCUUUAAGGGUCCUGAAGGAACGUUGAAGACGACGACGUUGAUAGGCCGGGUGUGUAAGCGCAGCGAUGCGUUGAGCUAACCGGUACUAAUGAACCGUGAGGCUUAACCUU